rnacentral:rRNA from 1 species
GGGUUGUGAGGUUAAGCGACUAAGCGUACACGGUGGAUGCCCUGGCAGUCAGAGGCGAUGAAGGGCGUGCUAAUCUGCGAUAAGCGCCGGUAAGGUGAUAUGAACCGUUAUAACCGGCGAUACCCGAAUGGGGAAACCCAGUGUGACUCGUCACACUAUCAUUAACUGAAUCCAUAGGUUAAUGAGGCGAACCGGGGGAACUGAAACAUCUAAGUACCCCGAGGAAAAGAAAUCAACCGAGAUUCCCCCAGUAGCGGCGAGCGAACGGGGAGGAGCCCAGAGCCUGAAUCAGCAUGUGUGUUAGUGGAAGCGUCUGGAAAGGCGCGCGAUACAGGGUGACAGCCCCGUACACAAAAGCGCAUGUGCUGUGAGCUCGAUGAGUAGGGCGGGACACGUGGUAUCCUGUCUGAAUAUGGGGGGACCAUCCUCCAAGGCUAAAUACUCCUGACUGACCGAUAGUGAACCAGUACCGUGAGGGAAAGGCGAAAAGAACCCCGGCGAGGGGAGUGAAAAAGAACCUGAAACCGUGUACGUACAAGCAGUGGGAGCACAGGUUUACCUGUGUGACUGCGUACCUUUUGUAUAAUGGGUCAGCGACUUAUAUUCUGUAGCAAGGUUAACCGAAUAGGGGAGCCGGAGGGAAACCGAGUCUUAAUUGGGCGUUAAGUUGCAGGGUAUAGACCCGAAACCCGGUGAUCUAGCCAUGGGCAGGUUGAAGGUUGGGUAACACUAACUGGAGGACCGAACCGACUAAUGUUGAAAAAUUAGCGGAUGACCUGUGGCUGGGGGUGAAAGGCCAAUCAAACCGGGAGAUAGCUGGUUCUCCCCGAAAGCUAUUUAGGUAGCGCCUCGUGAAUUCAUCUCCGGGGGUAGAGCACUGUUUCGGCUAGGGGGCCAUCCCGGCUUACCAACCCGAUGCAAACUGCGAAUACCGGAGAAUGUUAUCACGGGAGACACACGGCGGGUGCUAACGUCCGUCGUGAAGAGGGAAACAACCCAGACCGCCAGCUAAGGUCCCAAAGUCAUGGUUAAGUGGGAAACGAUGUGGGAAGGCCCAGACAGCCAGGAUGUUGGCUUAGAAGCAGCCAUCAUUUAAAGAAAGCGUAAUAGCUCACUGGUCGAGUCGGCCUGCGCGGAAGAUGUAACGGGGCUAAACCAUGCACCGAAGCUGCGGCAGCGACACUGUGUGUUGUUGGGUAGGGGAGCGUUCUGUAAGCCUGUGAAGGUGUGUCGUGAGGCAUGCUGGAGGUAUCAGAAGUGCGAAUGCUGACAUAAGUAACGAUAAAGCGGGUGAAAAGCCCGCUCGCCGGAAGACCAAGGGUUCCUGUCCAACGUUAAUCGGGGCAGGGUGAGUCGACCCCUAAGGCGAGGCCGAAAGGCGUAGUCGAUGGGAAACGGGUUAAUAUUCCCGUACUUGGUGUUACUGCGAAGGGGGGACGGAGAAGGCUAUGUUGGCCGGGCGACGGUUGUCCCGGUUUAAGCGUGUAGGCUGGUUUUCCAGGCAAAUCCGGAAAAUCAAGGCUGAGGCGUGAUGACGAGGCACUACGGUGCUGAAGCAACAAAUGCCCUGCUUCCAGGAAAAGCCUCUAAGCAUCAGGUAACAUCAAAUCGUACCCCAAACCGACACAGGUGGUCAGGUAGAGAAUACCAAGGCGCUUGAGAGAACUCGGGUGAAGGAACUAGGCAAAAUGGUGCCGUAACUUCGGGAGAAGGCACGCUGACACGUAGGUGAAGUGAUUUACUCACGGAGCUGAAGUCAGUCGAAGAUACCAGCUGGCUGCAACUGUUUAUUAAAAACACAGCACUGUGCAAACACGAAAGUGGACGUAUACGGUGUGACGCCUGCCCGGUGCCGGAAGGUUAAUUGAUGGGGUCAGCGCAAGCGAAGCUCCUGAUCGAAGCCCCGGUAAACGGCGGCCGUAACUAUAACGGUCCUAAGGUAGCGAAAUUCCUUGUCGGGUAAGUUCCGACCUGCACGAAUGGCGUAAUGAUGGCCAGGCUGUCUCCACCCGAGACUCAGUGAAAUUGAACUCGCUGUGAAGAUGCAGUGUACCCGCGGCAAGACGGAAAGACCCCGUGAACCUUUACUAUAGCUUGACACUGAACAUUGAGCCUUGAUGUGUAGGAUAGGUGGGAGGCUUUGAAGUGUGGACGCCAGUCUGCAUGGAGCCGACCUUGAAAUACCACCCUUUAAUGUUUGAUGUUCUAACGUGGACCCGUUACCCGGGUUGCGGACAGUGUCUGGUGGGUAGUUUGACUGGGGCGGUCUCCUCCUAAAGAGUAACGGAGGAGCACGAAGGUUGGCUAAUCCUGGUCGGACAUCAGGAGGUUAGUGCAAUGGCAUAAGCCAGCUUGACUGCGAGCGUGACGGCGCGAGCAGGUGCGAAAGCAGGUCAUAGUGAUCCGGUGGUUCUGAAUGGAAGGGCCAUCGCUCAACGGAUAAAAGGUACUCCGGGGAUAACAGGCUGAUACCGCCCAAGAGUUCAUAUCGACGGCGGUGUUUGGCACCUCGAUGUCGGCUCAUCACAUCCUGGGGCUGAAGUAGGUCCCAAGGGUAUGGCUGUUCGCCAUUUAAAGUGGUACGCGAGCUGGGUUUAGAACGUCGUGAGACAGUUCGGUCCCUAUCUGCCGUGGGCGCUGGAGAACUGAGGGGGGCUGCUCCUAGUACGAGAGGACCGGAGUGGACGCAUCACUGGUGUUCGGGUUGUCAUGCCAAUGGCACUGCCCGGUAGCUAAAUGCGGAAGAGAUAAGUGCUGAAAGCAUCUAAGCACGAAACUUGCCCCGAGAUGAGUUCUCCCUGAGACUUAGAGUCUCCUGAAGGAACGUUGAAGACGACGACGUUGAUAGGCCGGGUGUGUAAGCGCAGCGAUGCGUUGAGCUAACCGGUACUAAUGAACCGUGAGGCUUAACCUUACAACGCCGAAG